GCUAGGCUGGGUACUUCUCGUUUGUAAUCUGCUGUUCUAAGCUUGUUGUUUUCAAACACAAUGUUUGCACUCAUUCGUUUCUUGGAUGAAUUUGAUGAGACACCUUAUGUUGUCUUUGCAAAGUCCAAAAAGGACUUUAAUUUGACGGACGAAAACGACUACGACAAGAAUGGCGUGUACAGCACGUACUGGGAGGACAAAGAAAAGUGCAAAAACUCUGGCAUCUAUUCAGCACAGAUAUUGCUGCUGGCAUACACCAGAGAGGAUCUUGAAAAGAAGCAGACAUCUGAUUUUGAGGCUGAAGACAAUACUGCAGCUUCAUCUGACAGGGUAUCAUUGAAGCAGGGCAAGAAAAGGCAAAAAGAGAUGCAGCCAGCAGCAAAAAGCAGUGCUUAUGAAUGUAUCCUGCAAGAGCAACUAAGCAAAUCAGAGCAAAAACAGUGGUGUCGUCAGUGCUGUCAGUGCACCUGGAAGGAGGAAACGCCAGUUGAGUGAUUCUGAUAGCGAUACAGACGAGUCCGUUGUCGUCAGUCGAGCUGAAGAGGGCAAAGACAGACGCAGCAUUCUGGCGGUGGCGCUACACUGAGGCUUGCCAGGAGAAGGAGAAGCUCACCAAUAUUAUUGAAUCAAUGCAGAGAACCAGUGAUGGCAAGCUAGCAGCAAUUCAACAGCUGCGAGAAGCACAGGGUCCUGCACUGCCGUCACAAGCAGGUGAACUUCGUUGUGUUCAAUGGCUGCCAGAACCAAGGAGCCCUAGGGUGAUGUCAGGAGCAGCAGAAUGUCACUUCGGUAGGUAAAUUAUGUUCUUAUUGUAAGGUGAGUAAGGUAUUAUAAAAGGUAGUUUACCUUAAUGGGCUCCUGAUGCCCCGAAAUAUUACUUAUUUUUAAUGUGCUUAUAAGUAGUGGUGCGCGAAUACCGAAUAGCAGUUAUCGAAUCGAAUUGAGAAAAAAGAGCCGAAUAUUGAAUCGGAUAUUGAAUAGUGAUUUUCUUUGUAGGAAUUUUUCAAGGUGUGCUGUGAAUGAGAUUAUUAUAUGUGCAGAAUAUGCACCUUGAAAGGAACAAAAGCUCAAAAACGAAAAAGAAAAAAGAAGCUGUUGAUGGACGUUGGGCACUAAAGAUUCAAUUUUACGGCGCAAACGUAAUUAUCUACCCUAAGCGUCACAAAAACAAGUUACAGCCACAUGUGCCUUUUUUGUUAAAAGCACGACCUAACACCUUGACAUGUCCUUUUUAUUAUAUUUGUAUAUCUAAAAAAAGGGGCAUUUUGCGAUAUUUGGUCUUAAUUUUAACAAAGAAAAAGGGCACCCGGGAUUUUAUUUUAUAUAAAUAAACAGAAAGGUGUUAAAUCUAAGUAAACAGGCUUAAAUAAUAUAAUCUGAAGUAAGAAAAAAAAUGUGGUUAGGUGGCGCAAGUCACCGUCCAACUUCCGCUAUGCAUCCAUUCCUCCAUUGUGGUCAGUUUGCCUUGCUGCAUACCCGACCCGGAGGAAUAACACGGAGCCA